rnacentral:rRNA from 1 species
CGGGGGGCAGCAGUGGGGAAUAUUGCGCAAUGGGCGAAAGCCUGACGCAGCGACGCCGCGUGAGGGACGAAGGCCUUCGGGUUGUAAACCUCUUUCAGCAGGGACGAAGCGAAAGUGACGGUACCUGCAGAAGAAGCACCGGCUAACUACGUGCCAGCAGCCGCGGUAAUACGUAGGGUGCAAGCAUUGUCCGGAUUUAUUGGGCGUAAAGAGCUCGUAGGCGGCUUGUCACGUCGGGUGUGAAAACUCGGGGCUCAACCCCGAGCCUGCACUCGAUACGGGCUAGCUAGAGUAUUGCAGGGGAGACUGGAAUUCCUGGUGUAGCGGUGAAAUGCGCAGAUAUCAGGAGGAACACCGGUGGCGAAGGCGGGUCUCUGGGCAAUUACUGACGCUGAGGAGCGAAAGCGUGGGGAGCGAACAGGAUUAGAUACCCCAGU